rnacentral:lncRNA from 1 species
UUUUCAUUAUUUCACUCUACCAUGGCCAUGGGCUUAAGGACUUGAUCUUUCGAUCAUCAUGGGACUACUCCUCUCAUCUAUCGAGGUUGAUAGAUCCCUUCUUGGUGCGAUUUGGUUCCUACAAUGAAUAUGCUACAACCAACAUACACCUCAGAGUUCUGAAUGGCUAGGAGACCGAGUAAUGGUGUGGUCAAACUAUAACACACUCAAGGUAAACUGUCAAUGCACCUCAGCAGCAACUCUUGCUCCGUUCCCGAUGCGUAGGAUCAUAUCCCCAUCCCUCAACUUCCUGCUCUCCUCAAGAUCCUGCA